CUCGUUCUUUUUCCUAUUACUUUUGAGUUGCGGGGCAUCAUAAUGGAACUGGGAGGAUUUAAGCUCGAGAAAGAAACUUCACGACAACAAAACACGGCCACUCUUCUAAUUCACAACAGCGGAUUUGCUUAGCUCUGGAAGCUGGAGUCCCUUGGCCUGCAUUUGUUUGUACAUCCAUUGCCAAUUUUCAGGUGUUACCUCACCUCCUAGAGAUCGAAUCACAGACCCACCGCUGCAAGAACCUACCCGACAACAUUCCUCCAGUGACAGUCCCCUUACCAAUCCAUACAAAAACCCACUUGCAAACAGAUCUCCGGCACCUGUAGCGUCAGUAAGUUUUGCCUCGCCAAUUGCUGGAACACGGGCAAACUGAAAACCAAAACAAUAUUUCAUGUUUAUAACUCCAAUAACAUACAAUAAUUAAGAUUAUAAAACUAUCAACGGAGAAAGCCAUCUUGUGCGUGUGCCAACAAGAAUGGAAUUUUUCUAUAUAAAAAUAAUUAAUUUUAACCUUAAUGCCAAUUUUAUGGCCACAAAAACAUCAUGGCAUGUUUAAAACCACAAGUUCUUUUUAAAAAAUUCUUUCUUAUGUAAACUCCACGGCCUGUCAAAUACAUUCACAUAAAUUGCUAGUAUCCUACUAUUAAAAUGACAAGAACGACCAAGUUGUGGGGGUACUCGAUUGACAUCUUUAAAUAAUAUGAACAUCCAGAACAAACGGCUCGUUUUUAUUCAUUUUUUCUUAAAGAUGCAUUGCAGGUGGGGAAGGAUUACC
rnacentral:lncRNA from 1 species